CGGCGGACGGGUGAGUAACGCGUGGGUAACCUACCCUGUACACACGGAUAACAUACCGAAAGGUAUGCUAAUACGGGAUAAUAUAUUUGAGAGGCAUCUCUUGAAUAUCAAAGGUGAGCCAGUACAGGAUGGACCCGCGUCUGAUUAGCUAGUUGGUAAGGUAACGGCUUACCAAGGCGACGAUCAGUAGCCGACCUGAGAGGGUGAUCGGCCACAUUGGGACUGAGACACGGUCCAA
rnacentral:rRNA from 1 species